AUUGAACGCUGGCGGCAGGCCUAACACAUGCAAGUCGAACGGUAACAGGAAACAGCUUGCUGUUUCGCUGACGAGUGGCGGACGGGUGAGUAAUGUCUGGGAAACUGCCUGAUGGAGGGGGAUAACUACUGGAAACGGUAGCUAAUACCGCAUAACGUCGCAAGACCAAAGAGGGGGACCUUCGGGCCUCUUGCCAUCGGAUGUGCCCAGAUGGGAUUAGCUAGUAGGUGGGGUAACGGCUCACCUAGGCGACGAUCCCUAGCUGGUCUGAGAGGAUGACCAGCCACACUGGAACUGAGACACGGUCCAGACUCCUACGGGAGGCAGCAGUGGGGAAUAUUGCACAAUGGGCGCAAGCCUGAUGCAGCCACGCCGCGUGUAUGAAGAAGGCCUUCGGGUUGUAAAGUACUUUCAGCGGGGAUGAAGGGAGUAAAGUUAAUACCUUUGCUCAUUGACGUUACCCGCAGAAGAAGCACCGGCUAACUCCGUG
rnacentral:rRNA from 1 species